GACGAACGCUGGCGGCGUGCUUAACACAUGCAAGUCGAACGGAAAGGCUCCAGCUUGCUGGAGUGCUCGAGUGGCGAACGGGUAGUAACACGUGGGCAAUCUGCCCUGCACUCUGGGAUAAGCCUGGGAAACUGGGUCUAAUACCGGAUAGGACCUUUCUCCUCAUGGGGUUUGGUGGAAAGUUUUUCGGUGCAGGAUGAGCCCGCGGCCUAUCAGCUUGUUGGUGGGGUAAUGGCCUACCAAGGCGACGACGGGUAGCCGGCCUGAGAGGGUGAUCGGCCACAUUGGGACUGAGAUACGGCCCAGACUCCUACGGGAGGCAGCAGUGGGGAAUAUUGCACAAUGGGCGAAAGCCUGAUGCAGCGACGCCGCGUGAGGGAUGACGGCCUUCGGGUUGUAAACCUCUUUCAGUAGGGACGAAGCGCAAGUGACGGUACCUGCAGAAGAAGCACCGGCUAACUACGUG
rnacentral:rRNA from 1 species